rnacentral:tRNA from 1 species
UGGGAUGGAGCUCAGUGGCAGAGCACUUGCCCAGCACGCACGAGUCCUUGGGUUUGAACCCAACACCACAA